rnacentral:rRNA from 1 species
UACGGAGGUGGCAAGCGUUGCUCGGAAUCACUGGGCGUAAAGGGCGCGUAGGCGGGGAGGUAAGUCGGGUGUGAAAUCCCUCGGCCCAACCGAGGAACUGCGCCCGAGACUGCUUCGCUUGAGUCCCGGAGAGGAAGAUGGAAUUCCCGGUGUAGCGGUGAAAUGUGUAGAGAUCGGGAGGAACACCGGUGGCGAAGGCGGUCUUCUGGACGGUGACUGACGCUGAGGCGCGAAAGCGUGGGGAGCAAACGGG